UCAACCUAUCAGAAACUGCGCGAACACCGAGAGCUCUUGAUUCCCCAUUCGACCCAAGGAGGCCCCAAUUGGAUGAAGUCAUCUAGUGGUCGAAAAUUAGACUACUUGAAACUCUGGUCAUCUUUAAUUUCCCUGUGACAACGGAUAACGAGUGGUUAACAUGUUUGUUACGUUCCCCAAAUCUUAAAACUCGAAGGAUAUUUCAACCAAAAACUAACGGCAUGUUAUUUACAAUUGAUUUCCCUUGUGAUCAGCCAAGCAAGUUACUCAUCAGAUACCUGUGGACAACUUAUAUCUGCAACUCGCCAUUAUGAUUUCCCAGUGAGAGGAUUCACAUUCUGCUUUCACCUGUAAUAGGCAUCAUACUUUCAUUACUAUAGAAGUUAUGAAACAAAACACACAAAUGAUGCUGACGCUGUAGUUUACUGUUGUUUUCCAUCUGGUUGGUGCAACAUAUUCAUGUUUAUGUGGUGAAAUAUCCACCGUUCCAUCACCAAAACAUCAAACAUUCUACAACCAUACAUUGUCAUCAUCCACCUAACCAUUAUCUUCUCAGAAAUCUUCGUGUCAUUUCAACUUAACCAGCUAAGAUUCAAAGGCUUUGACAUCUUUGGUAUUUUAAGUUUCCACUGUGUGAAGUGUCGUGCCAUUGUAACGAAGAAUCUAGUGAUAGGAUUGCAAGUAUUCAUCAUCCUACUUUGCAAAAAUUGUCUUCCUAAUAACUUCUGUAGUUCUCGUCCCCAAUUAACCGCACACAACUACUUUUUCUUCCUCUUCCCACGGAUGCAAAAUCAACCAUCGACGUUCCAGUUAUGCUGUCCUUGUCUACCGGAGUCAUUUACGCGUAGCGCCAUGGCUGAGCAACAUGGAGCAAAUGAUAUAAGGGCUAGCAGCGAUAUCCCGCGGCGAUGGAGAAGGGGUUCACCGAGGAACGUCGUGCUGUGGUAUUGUUUUGUUUUGCUUUGCUUUGUUUGUGUAUAGUUAACCCGUUGGCUGCCACCCCGUUUGCGUCCCAUUUUUUUUUUAGCUUGUAGGGACCGGGCGCUGUUCUACCUCAUGGUCUAUGCCAUGGGGAGAACAGUCGCCGCGCCUUUAGGCGCCGUAGGCAAUGCACCAGUAGGGACUUCUCUUUGUCGAUGCGGUGGUAGAUUCCUGGGGUGUGCAUUCCCGGAAUGGAAUCUAUUACCGUGUCAGCCCGGACUUGUCUUCGGACAAGUCCCACCUUGUUCGCGAUCCUUCUGACGUGAUGCGUAGCAACUGUAGUAAAACAACCUAUGGGUUGUAUGGCCUGGCAGCCAACGGGUUAACUAGUUAUGUGUAUGUAUGUAUUUGUUUAUGUAUGUUAUUAUGUUCGUAUUGUAAUGUAAAACAGUGGUGGAAUUGAUGGGCGGAGGAGGGACAAUAAAAAUUAAUUCGUUUUAAUA